AAUCACUCUACAGUUAAACUCCGUUACCUCCCUAAUAGCAGUCCUAUGUGGUAGUCCAAAUCGGUUUUAAAUGCUAACUUGGAUGUCCAGUUGCUAGGAUGGAAAUAAGUUUUUAAUUAAAUAAAUUUAAUUUGGACUGCCACGUAAGACAUCCAAGUUUACAUUUAAAACCCAUUUGGACUGCCAUGUAGGAUCGCCAUUAGGGAGGUAAAGGAGCUUAAUGGUAGAGUGGUCACUUCGUAACAAAACGAUAAUGUAAGUGACUAAAACGUAACAUUUCAAACAUAAGUGACUAAAAUGUUAUCCGAGACAAACAAAAUUGACUAUUUUUAUAGUUUUAAACUUUUUUAAUUUUUGAAAUAUUUAUAUAUGAUAUAUGAAUAUUUAUAUAUUUUUAAUCAAUAUAAUAUAUAAUAUUAAAAAAAUAAAAAGAAGCUGACAUGGGGCAUUCUCAUAAUGCCAUGGGGUAAUUUUGAUUUUUCUACCGCUGUGGACCAAUUUGGAUAGGGUGGAUAGUGUAAGUGCUAAAUUGAGAUAAAAAAAAGUUUUAGAUGUCAAAAUAAAAAUACAGAGAGCCAAAUUCAACAUUAAGCUUUAAAUCUAUUAUGACUUUACAUAUGAUAAUAUACCAAAUCCAAAUCAUAUACAAAUAUGCACACAAUAAUUGAAUAUUGAAUAUUUCUUUUUAUUAUACAUUGGAAUAAAUCUUAAAACUAUACAUGAAUUUUGAUUUAAUGUGCAAUUGUAAACAUGAACUUUAAUUUGGUAUAAUUAUACACGUAAAACUCUAAUUGGGGUCCAAGUUUAUACUUGAAACUUUAAUUUUAAUUUAAUCAUAUACACAUUUAAAGAAAUAGUACAUUAAUUUAUUUUUAUAUUGGAUAAAUAUAAUUAUUUAUAUAUGCAAUAUAUAAACAUGAAAUGAUGUUAUAUCAAUAAUUGUUUUAAUAAUUUAAUCAAAAUUCAUAUACAAUUACACAUUAAACCAUAACACAUCCCAUCCAUUACUUUAUUUUUAGUGCAAAGUUGCUUCAAUUCUAGUCUCUCAACAAAAACAAUGCCUUUAAUUUGGGAAAGAAAAAUAUUUGGUAUUAUAUUAGUAGAGCUUUUAGACUUCACAAGUAGAAAGUGUUAUAUAGAGAUAUUAAUAAAUAUUAAAAAAAGAAAAAUUUAAAA
rnacentral:lncRNA from 1 species